rnacentral:rRNA from 1 species
GACGAACGCUGGCGGCGUGCUUAACACAUGCAAGUCGAACGAAUUGGCGACCGCGUGAGUAUUACGCGUGUACCCUGCCCUCCUUUUUGGGAUAAGCCUUGGAAACGGGGUCUAAUACCGCAUAUAGGGGGCUGGGCUCGCGGCCUAUCGGCGUGUUGUGGGGGUGACGGCCUACCAAGGGGGUGACGGGUCGCCGGCCUGAGAGGGUGACCGGCAACAUGGGGACGGAGAUACGGCCCAGACGCCGACGGGAGGCAGAAGUGGGGGAUAUUGCGAAAUGGGCGAAAGGCUGAUGCAGCGAAGCCGCGUGGGGGAUGAAGGCUUUCGGGUUGUAAACCUCGUUCGCUAUGGAACGGGUAGGUGGAGAAGAAGCGCCGGCUAACUACGUGCCAGCAGCCGCGGUAAUAC